rnacentral:lncRNA from 1 species
GGACCUCUUUUAAGAGACUGCAAGUUACUUGACUUGGAACGCAUAAGAGAAAUAGACAGAAACAUAAGAUUUGCGGUACCCAUCUGAGUAUUUAUGCUCUAUCCAUCUAUCUACAAUAUAUUUGAAAACAUCAAACAGAAUAUUUACUUUGAUAUUCAAGUUCUGCAAACUGCAACCCAUACAACGAAACCCCCAUGCACCCAGAACAAAAGAAAAAACCCUAUCUUCAAUCACUAACAAGAUAAACAUCAUAAAAAAUUUACGAAAACAAACCCCAAUAAAUGUAACCCAUAACUAACUGACUUUGCUACAUUGCUACACGAUAUAGACUGAAAAUUGAAAAUGAAAAAAACUAGGGAUUCAUUUCCACAUGUCAAAUCCAAAUCAUACGACCGCUAUGACCAGAACUUUUAGCAGAUCUCCUACCUCCGCAUGAACCUUUUUCCGAAGAGAAGCAUCGAUGGAUAAGCCGAGAAAAUCCUCAGUCUGCCAUAAUCGAAUAACCAGAAUCGUAUGGUUUCGAAUCGAUAUGCGGCUUUUUGGCGGGUGGGCGGGGCGGGCGAGAGAAAGAGGAAAGGAAGGGGAAGAGAGGGGAGUGAGGAAGUGGGAAAUAAAGUGGGAAUGUGGAACUUUCGAGUUUCAUUUGAACAUUUUGGUUUCCCUCCUGCCACUGACGGCGUUAGUCUGGGCCGUGUACCAAUAUUAAAUAUUUGCUUUAUUAAAAAAAAAAAAAAAAUUUGCUUUUUAAUU